rnacentral:rRNA from 1 species
AAAGGCUUACCAAGGCGACGACCAUUAGGCGGCCUGAGAGGGUGGUCGCCCACACUGGAACUGAGACACGGUCCAGACUCCUACGGGAGGCAGCAGUGGGGAAUUUUGCGCAAUGGGCGAGAGCCUGACGCAGCGACGCCGCGUGGACGAGGAAGGCCUUCGGGUCGUAAAGUCCUUUUUUACGGGAAGAAAGUUAAUGUAAGUAACUGUGCAUUAAUUGACGGUACCGUAAGAAUAAGCCCCGGCUAACUCCGUGCCAGCAGCCGCGGUAAUACGGAGGGGGCGAGCGUUGUUCGGAAUUACUGGGCGUAAAGCGUACGUAGGCGGCGUGGUAAGUCGGAGAUUAAAGGCUACGGCUCAACCGUAGUAGGGCCUUUGAUACUAUCAUCUAGAGUGUCGGAGGGGGUAACGGAAUUCCCUGUGUAGCGGUGAAAUGCGUAGAUAUAGGGAGGAACACCAGUAGCGAAGGCGGUUACCUGGCCGAUCACUGACGCUGAGGUACGAGAGCGUGGGUAGCAAACAGGAUUAGAUACCCUGGU